UGGGGAAUAUUGCACAAUGGGCGCAAGCCUGAUGCAGCCAUGCCGCGUGUAUGAAGAAGGCCUUCGGGUUGUAAAGUACUUUCAGUCGGGAGGAAGGUGGUAAGGUUAAUAACCUUAUCAAUUGACGUUACCUACAGAAGAAGCACCGGCUAACUCCGUGCCAGCAGCCGCGGUAAUACGGAGGGUGCAAGCGUUAAUCGGAAUUACUGGGCGUAAAGCGCACGCAGGCGGUUGAUUGAGUCAGAUGUGAAAUCCCCGGGCUUAACCCGGGAAUUGCAUCUGAUACUGGUCAGCUAGAGUCUUGUAGAGGGGGGUAGAAUUCCAUGUGUAGCGGUGAAAUGCGUAGAGAUGUGGAGGAAUACCGGUGGCGAAGGCGGCCCCCUGGACAAAGACUGACGCUCAGGUGCGAAAGCGUGGGGAGCAAACAGG
rnacentral:rRNA from 1 species